rnacentral:rRNA from 1 species
GUGGAUUAGAUACCCUAGUAGUCCACGCUGUAAACGAUGAGUACUAGGUGUAGGGUCUUCCAGGCUCUGUGCCGCAGUUAACACAUUAAGUACUCCGCCUGGGAAGUACGGUCGCAAGACUAAAACUCAAAGGAAUUGACGGGGGCCCGCACAAGCAGCGGAGCAUGUGGUUUAAUUCGAAGCAACGCGAAGAACCUUACCAGGACUUGACAUCCUAAGAAUUCUUGAGAGAUCAGGAAGUGCCCUUCGGGGAACUUAGAGACAGGUGGUGCACGGUCGUCGUCAACU